rnacentral:rRNA from 1 species
CCUACGGGAGGCAGCAGUAGGGAAUCUUGCGCAAUGGGCGAAAGCCUGACGCAGCAACGCCGCGUGGGGGAUGAAUGCCUUCGGGUUGUAAACCCCUUUCAGCAGGAACGCGGUACCUGCAGAAGAAGGUCCGGCCAACUACGUGCCAGCAGCCGCGGUAACACGUAGGGGCCAAGCGUUGUCCGGAUUUAUUGGGCGUAAGAGCUCGUAGGCGGUUCGACAAGUCGGGUGUGAAAACUCCGGGCUCAACCCGGAGACGCCACCCGAUACUGCGUGACUGGAGUCCGGUAGGGGAGUGGGGAAUUCCUGGUGUAGCGGUGAAAUGCGCAGAUAUCAGGAGGAACACCGGUGGCGAAGCGCCACUCUGGGCCGGACUGACGCUGAGGAGCGAAAGCGUGGGUAGCAAACAGGAUUAGAUACCCUUGUAGUC